AUUAGUUCAACAGAAAAGAAGGACAUUAACAAAAAUGUAUGCUCCAUUCGAAGGCAGAUUGUGAGCGUAAAUGAACGGUGACCCAUUUUUUAUUUCAUUUUUCUAUUAUGUAUAAGAUAAAGUUCAUUUAUAGAAAAAUAUAGAGAAAUCCUAUAUUAAAUAAAAAAAUUCAUUUAGACCCGCGAGCCCCCUUAAAUAUUAAUAUGUGAUAUUUUUUUUUUCUUUUUUGAAGGUCGCAAGAUGACCUGUAGUUGAUAGUAUCCUUGAUCAUUUUUUUUUUAUCAAUAAUUGUCUCAUUAACAGUUAAACCACAAUAUGCACAAUUCCUCAUUUUAUCAUGCAAACACUUAGAUUACCCUGGAAAUCUUAAUUCCUUUCUAUAGACUUAUCGAUUAGCAGGUAUGUUAUUUUUAUUAUCUAAAGUACAAGACUAGUGUAGUUGACUGUUAUCGGGUGUAUUAUGUCCUAUAUGUUCUCCCACUUAUUUGUAUUGUGGUCCUGUAGUGUAAUGUUUUCAUUUCAAUGUUUUAUUGAACAUUCACAAAAAAGAGGGAGGUUUGGCUAGCCGCAAAACGAGGUUCAACCCACCAUUUGUUUCUUAGUAUGUCCUGUACCAAGUCGGGAAAAUAGUCAUUGUUCUAUUAUAGUUCGUUUUAGUGUGUGUUACAUUUUAAUGUUGCGUUUCUGUUAAGUCGUAGAUCUCCUCAUAUAUUUGAAGUGUUUCUCUGUUUAAGUUUGUAACCCGGAUUUGUUUUUUCUCAAUCGAUUUAUGAAUUUUGAACAGCGGUAUACUUUUGUUGCCUUUUUUUAACUCCAUUUCAAUUAUUUUGGAUAAUUUGGAACACAGAGUCGUGUGAAUUGUGAAUAUGGAAAAUCUUCAGUUAAUGUCAUCAACUCUUCAUAGUAUAAUUUUUAUUAAGAAUUGAUGUGUAUGUCUAGUAAAUAUAUUCUGCCUUUUAACCACAUCUUCUAAGGGUUUAUUUUAUAGUGUAUGCCUUGCCAAAUGUACAUGCUUGUACAAAGAACUUUAAAUGUGUAAAUAUUUGAAUUUAUGAUUUUCAUUUAUUCCUUUUUUUUUUACUUCUCAAAACUUCGUACUACCUAGAGUCUGUAGUUUAUUGUGUGUCCUUACACGUUUAUAUGGUCUUUAGAUUACACUUUUAUGUCACCAUACUCAAAUUGCACGUAGUACCUAAAUUGCAUCCUUUUAGUAAAAAUAACAGCUGAAACUUUACAAUUUUGUUUAAAGUCAAAACAAUUAUUCUCGUCUUUGGACAUAGCUAGAUAUAUUUAACUAUUGUAAAAGUAAAUUGUUGAGGUAAAACACUGAUUCUUGCUUCACAUUUUUUUUUAUAAAAUUUUCAAAGCUCAAUACAACCAGGAAUUUGUCGUUCAUUAUUGACCUUCCAAAAUGUACCUGGUAUCAUGAUGACUUUCUUAUGUGAAAAAAGUUAACUAGUUUUUGAUGGGUUUUUUUUUUAAGUUAAUCAAAAAUUAACACUUCAUAUUUACCACUGUUUUUCAAAUUAUUAUAGGCCCAUACGACCUGGAGUGUGUCGUACAUUGCAUGGAUGGUCACAUUUAUCAUUUGUAUUCAACAUAUCAAAACCUAGAGGAGUAAUACCACUAAAUCAUAAAACGUCACAUUGAAUUUGAUAGAUGUAAGAAAUUAAUCCUACAUUUCAUUGCAGAUAAAAAAAAAUAUGGGUCAUACACAUAUAUCUGGAAGUGUUUCAAACACCAUUAUUGUUUUAUUUGGUGUUUCUAUAGCAUAUUUUGAGAACUUGAGUUUGCAUGGUUACUAAAGAUUGAACACAGGUAAAAAAGUAAAUUUGAUUGGUUAACUUCCAGUGUUAUAUUUGUAUAUACAAUGAAACGUUAUUUGAAAGUUGUCUAAAGUACUGGACAGGAUAAAAAUUUACUCAUGGCAAGUAUUUCUUCAUUUGAAUCAAAGAUGAACUCUUAACACUUUGUUUCAAAGUGGAAAUUUAACAAAGACUAAUAGGGGAAAAUCAAUGGCGGUAUUACAGCGAGAGGUUUCUUACAUUGUAUGCUAAGCCAGCUGUAAAGGUCUUAUAUUAUGACCUUAACACGUGUAGAAGGGUAAUCCUUUUUUUUGAAGUAACAAACAAAUUUAAAUUAAUGUAUGUGAUAUGUCAAACCCGUUUUAAUGUAAUGUUUCUUUUCUAUUACUUAAGUAAUUUUAAAAACAACUAACUUUAAAUUAAAAAUGUUUUAAUGCCACUAAAUUUAAAGUCGUGACAAAUAAUUCAAACAAUCAUUUGGAUAUAAAUUGAAUAUUUAAUCAAGAUAUAGAGUUCUCAUGUGAAUCUGAGUUUAUUAUUCCUCCUGUUUCAGCUUAUCUGGACCGAAAGGCCAAGUGAGCUUUUCUCAUUACUUUGCGUCCGUCGUCCGUCGUCGUCGUCUAGCGUCGUCUGUUAACUUUUACAAAAAUCUUCCCUUCUGAAACUACUGGGCAAAAUUUAUCCAAACUUAGCCACAAUCAUUAUUAGGGUAUCUAGUUUGAACAAUGUGUCCGGUGAACCAUCCAGCCAACCAAGAUGACUCAAUGGCUAAAAAUAGAACAAAGGGGUAAAACGUAGACUUUGGCUAAUAACUCUGAAACCAAAGAAUUUAGAGCAAAUCUGACGUGGGUAAAAUUGUUUAUCAAGUCAAGAUAUAUCUGGCCCGAAAUUUUCAGAUGAAUCGGACAACCGGUUGUUGGGUUGCUGCCCCUGAAUUGGUAAUUUUAAGGAAAUUUUGCUGUUUUUGGUAAUCAUCUUGAAUAUUAAUAUAGAUAGAGAUAAACUGUAAACAGCACUAAUGUAUAGCACAGUAAGACCUAAUAUGUUCAAAUCAGUCAUAAUGAGCAAAUGGUCAAUUGACCCCUAAAGGAGUUUAUAGUUCAAUUUAACAAUUUUCAUUUUUUUUUCUCUGUAACUACUUGGCAAAGUGCACUAUAUAUAGAUAUAUUGUUAACAGCACGAGUGUUCAGUAAAGUAAUAUCUACAAAACCAUCACCAUCAUCAAAAACACAAUUUUGUCAUUAAUCCAUUUGUGUCCUUAAAAGUUUGAUUAAUAUGCACAUAGACCAAGGUGCACGACACAGACUCUUUAAACCUCUAGUUUAUAGUAUGCAAUACAUUGUAACUGUUGCUUCGUGUAGUUUAUAUAUUAACUUGCUUUUGCUAUUUGUUUGUUUUUUUUAUAUUAUUUUGCUUUUGCUUUUUUUUUUUUGUUGUUAUUUUUUUAAUUUUACAAACUAAGUGC
rnacentral:lncRNA from 1 species